AUUGAACGCUGGCGGCAGGACUAACACAUGCAAGUCGAGCGGAGCGGCGGACGGGUGAGUAAUGCCUAGGAAUCUGCCUGGUAGUGGGGGAUAACGUCCGGAAACGGGCGCUAAUACCGCAUACUAUCAGAUGAGCCUAGGUCGGAUUAGCUAGUUGGGGGGGUAAAGGCCUACCAAGGCGACGAUCCCUAGCUGGUCUGAGAGGAUGAUCAGCCACACUGGGACGGAGACACGGCCCAGACUCCUACGGGAGGCAGCAGUGGGGAAUAUUGCACAAUGGGCGCAAGCCUGAUGCAGCCAUGCCGCGUGUAUGAAGAAGGCCCUAGGGUUGUAAAGCACUUUAAGUUGGGAGGCGUUACCAACAGAAUAAGCACCGGCUAACUUCGUGCCAGCAGCCGCGGUAAUUC
rnacentral:rRNA from 1 species